rnacentral:lncRNA from 1 species
UUGUUGUUUAUUGCUUACAUUAUACAUUAUUACAGGUUAUCAGUAAGUUAGUCAUAUUUUAAGUUAAAUAAAUUGUUAUUCGGCUGUAUAAGUAGGUAAAUGCAUAUAAAAAUAAAAUAGGUAGGUAUUAUAAAUAUAAAAAGUUAAGAGUGCUCUUGUGAUCUGAGGUUGAAAUAGAAUAUUAUCUCGAGGUAUCAUUUUCUAUUUUGGACAGAAGAGUGGAGUGGCACUGAUACCCGCACUAAUGGCUAGAGAUAUUUCUGAUAUUUACUUUCCCGAUCUCAGGUCCUUUUCCAGAUCGUCCAAGUUUUCUGAUGUCAGAUCACAUUAGCAUGGAUACUGAGUCAUUAAAGGUCAAAGAUUAAACUUGUGCAGGCUAGUUUAAGCAAUUGGUGAAGGUAAGCGGUAAGGGGUCUCGCAGUGCCUAGUCUGUGUUUACAGAUACACACACACUUCUCCCCUAUGUCAUACUUCUCUCUCUCCUUUCUAUCUCUCCAAGGUCAUAGGCACAGCUAAGUGCCUCCUACUGUAAAUAGGAUUACUGCAACAUUAUACAGAAUACUGAGUCAUUGUAGAAGCUUAUGAGUUGUGCAGGCCUGUGUCAGCAAUCGGGAAAGGUAAGCGGUGGUAGUGUCCAGAUACACGCCUCCUGCUGUAGAUAGGUAUUUUGUCUUACCGACACCCAUUUUCAUCUCAAAUGUAAUUAAAAACGUUCGCUUUGUAAUGUAUUUCAAUAUCAAAGAAAUUGAAGUUGAUAAAGGAAUUGCAGAGAAUUAAAAAAAAAAAAAUGUAUCGUAUAGGCUAAUAACAUAUAGUAGAUGGGGAUAAAGGAUUAUUAUGUCAGCUUCAGUCAAUAAUUAGAAUUAUUAUUUUAAAUUUAUUUCAUCUUUCCAGCACUACUAAUCAUUUAAUGUGUUAUUAAAAAAUACAUUUUAAAUAUAUUUCAACAGUAAAAGAAUUGAAGUUGUUACAGUAAUUGUAGAGCAUUACCCUGUGGUUUUAACCCAAUUCCCAAGAUCCAUUAUUGUUUAAAUUUUAAUAAAUCUCGCAUUUCUUUUGGGUAUAGCCACAUUUUAUAAAAUUGUCAGAUUUUUACAAAAUAUUUAUAAAUUCAGAUAAUGAUUAGUGUUUUAUGAGCAUUAUAUAAUUAGCCCACAAAUAAUUUUUCAUCCUCUGACCCAAAUUUGGAGGUUCAGAAAACCCUGCCAAAUAACAUGACAAGGAGUGUGGAGUACAAUUAAUUUGUACUGAUCCCAUUAAAAUAAUGUAUAAAUUAUCUAAGGAUAGGAGAGCCUAUAAAGAGAGUUGACUACUCCUAAAAGGCCUUCCUAUCAGGAAGAGAGGGUACCAUGACAUCCAUUUUUAAAUUUGUCAAAUUUUUACCAAAUUUUUUAAACUUGUAAAUAUCUAUGUCCAAUUAUGUGAAUGUCUCAUAACAAAUGUCUGAGUCAGCUAAAAAAUACUAAAACUUACCUAACUACAUUAUCCUAGGUAGGAUAAAUAUAUCUUUCUAUUAUGGUAAACUAUUUAGCAAAAUGUUACCAAUCAGGAAUUAAGUAAAAUUAAUCAAUAAAAUAUUUGAAAAAUACACAUACAGUAGCAAACAAGACUGAAAUUACAGAUAAAAUAGGUCUCUGAAUGCUACGAUUUGUAAAAUGAAAUUUUUGUUGAAUUAUGGUUACACCUUCCUAGGGGAUUAUAAAUUAAAGUUCAUGAAACAUGACUAAGGAGUAGUAAAUAGUUUAUCAGGUCCUUGUUACUGAACUUAAGAGAUAUCCAAGGAUAAAAUUUUCUCUGUAGAUAAUUUUUCUGAAAGUCUUAUGUUAUCGUCCAUCCCAAUAGUUCAGCGUAAUCAGAUAUGUCUAGUUCUGUACCACCAAUAAACAAAGGAGUCCAAAAAGUUUUAGAUAUAUUCAUUUGUUUUUAUGCAUGUACAUGUUGUUUUUCAGAUGAUAUAUUCUUUUGCCUGUUUCCUACCAGUAACACAAAGUUUAAGGUUCUUGUGAAAACCGCACUGUUUACAUUUAUUUAAAACUAUCUGGUCCUUAAAAACUAUUUUAAGAUUUUCUGUUAUACUUGCCCUAAUAAAAUUCAGUCAGGUAGAUUAAUUUGUCUAUUGCCUACAAGGUAAAAAGUACACCACAUCAUAUGUUGUGUAACCAGAUUUGCUAAAGUUGCUUACAAAAUUUAAAAUUAUAGCUCUUUUCAUUUUUAACAUUUCUCCCACAAGACAAAAUAGAAAUUACAUCAUCGUCCUGUGUGAUAGGCUUUAGCCAAAUUCCAUGGUUAGACAUGUACCAUCACAGAACUCGUUCUUAUCUAUGUUGAAAUGAGGUUUCACAAAACUU